rnacentral:rRNA from 1 species
GACGAACCGUGCGAACGUUGUUCGGAAUCACUGGGCUUAAAGGGCGCGUAGGCGGCUGCGCAAGUCCGGGGUGAAAGCCUCCAGCUCAACUGGAGAAGUGCCUUGGAAACUGUGCAGCUCGAGCGAGGUAGGGGUGAUGGGAACUUCCGGUGGAGCGGUGAAAUGCGUUGAUAUCGGAAGGAACGCCGGUGGCGAAAGCGCAUCACUGGACCUCUCCUGACGCUGAGGGCGCG